rnacentral:rRNA from 1 species
UACGUAGGGGGCUAGCGUUGUCCGGAUUUAUUGGGCGUAAAGAGCGUGUAGGCGGCCAGAUAGGUCUGCUGUGAAAACUCGAGGCUCAACCUCGAGCUGUCGGCGGAAACCAUCUGGCUAGAGUCCGGAAGAGGAAAGUGGAAUUCCUGGUGUAGCGGUGAAAUGCGCAGAUAUCAGGAAGAACACCCGUGGCGAAGGCGGCUUUCUGGGACGGUACUGACGCUGAGACGCGAAAGCGUGGGGAGCGAACAGG